rnacentral:rRNA from 1 species
UACGGAGGGUGCAAGCGUUAAUCGGAAUUACUGGGCGUAAAGCGUGCGUAGGCGGUGAGUGAAGUCUGCUGUGAAAUCCCUGGGCUCAACCUGGGAAUGGCGGUGGAUACUGGCUUGCUAGAGUACGGUAGGGGAAGGUGGAAUUCCCGGUGUAGCGGUGAGAUGCGUAGAGAUCGGGAGGAACAUCAGUGGCGAAGGCGACCUUCUGGACCAGUACUGACGCUGAGGCACGAAAGCGUGGGGAGCAAACAGGAUUAGAUACCCUGGUAGUCCACGCCCUAAACGAUGCGAACUGGAGGUUGGGUGCGACUUGGCACGCAGUCUCGAAGCUAACGCGUUAAGUUCGCCGCCUGGGGAGUACGGUCGCAAGACUGAAACUCA